CAGCAGCCACGGUAAUACGUAGGGUGCGAGCGUUAAUCGGAAUUACUGGGCGUAAAGCGUGCGCAGGCGGUGCUGCAAGACCGAUGUGAAAGCCCCGGGCUUAACCUGGGAACUGCAUUGGUGACUGCAGCGCUGGAGUAUGGCAGAGGGGGGUGGAAUUCCACGUGUAGCAGUGAAAUGCGUAGAGAUGUGGAGGAACACCGAUGGCGAAGGCAGCCCCCUGGGCCAAUACUGACGCUCAUGCACGAAAGCGUGGGGAGCAAACAGGAUUAGAGACCCCUGUAGUCCCUGUCUCUUAUAC
rnacentral:rRNA from 1 species